GUAAUGUUCAAGCUCACAACCGAUCAAAAUUUAAAAUCUCUACCGUCAGCAUUGAAGCAUCCUAAUAGAAGGACUGCCUCUUUUCUCUUAGCCAUCAAAAUCAGGUCAAAAUUUCUCACACAAUACACUACCCCUCAGAGAAAAAACACAAAGUUUUGUACUAUAAAACUAGAGGCAAAACAGCAUUUAGACUCAUUAGUUUCCAGUCUUUGGAUCGAGCGAAAGCACCAGGGAGCAAACAACAAAAAUCGUGGACCGUUACCCAUAUAUCCCAGGCAAGCCAUCGAUUAGCAAGCAAGCAAGCGAGCAGCAGAGUGGAUGAUCGAUUCCCCGGGUAGACUUCAACCGAACGGCCCGCAAGCGUGGCUCGAGUGACUCGCCUCUUGCAAAUCCGUACGACCCGUAGUGCCAGGCCAGCCGACCUGAAGAAGUCGCAUUAGCUUGCUUGAUCGCAUGUUGCUUGACUGCCAAUUGCAAUUUUCAUUGCAACUACCCUGCCACGUCUACUAAAGAGUUUUUUCCUAUCGGCUCAAAUCUGUGCGCUUUGGUUCCAUCCAACAGACCGUAAGUGCAGUGUGUCGAAUUUCGACAAACAAGUCUAAAGUUUUUUUCCACAUGCAGAAACCGAUAGUACCACAGUAGAGUGCCUAAAAGCAGUAGCCGUAUAGAAAGUAUCACCGCGUGUGCCGAGGAAGAAGAAAAACCGAUCUCCCACGUGAGAUCGGUUUUUUGGUGAUACGGUUUCAUCGAGAGAUCAGCAGUGGUUGGCGCGCAAAAUUGGCGGGAAUCAGACUGCACCGACGUCGCAGCGGAUUGGAUGGAGCAGUGACCAAUAGCUAGCUAGAGUCGCGUGUGAUACAAGCCAGUUUCCGACGUCCAGUGAAACGGUUUUGGGACAAUAGAAUGUGCACAUGAAGAACAGUGAUCGAUCGAACUUUUGAACAGUACUGGCCAGUGCGUAUGAUAGGUAUAUUGUAGGAAGUUAGGCAUAAGCUGUAAUCUAGGGGUAAGUGAUUAAAAACCAUACUCUCGGCCGAGAUUCUGACAAGCGAAUAAAAUGUUGGUAGAUAAUAAAAGUUUUGAAUUCGUUUUCGCCAAAUUUAGUGUGUGAGAUUUGUUGAUUUGAGAAUUGUUCUUUUAGUUUUUAUUUUUAUUUUUAUACUGAAUUUCUUUUCUUUGGUGGUGGUAAAAU